UACGUAGGGAGCAAGCGUUGUCCGGAAUCAUUGGGCGUAAAGCGCGCGUAGGCGGCCCGAUAAGUCCGCUGUAAAAGUCAACGGCUCAACUGUUGAAAGCCGGUGGAUACUGUCGGGCUAGAGUACGGAAGAGGCAAGUGGAAUUCCUGGUGUAGCGGUGGAAUGCGCAGAUAUCAGGAGGAACACCCAUAGCGAAGGCAGCUUGCUGGGACGUUACUGACGCUAAGGCGCGCAAGCGUGGGGAGCGAACAGG
rnacentral:rRNA from 1 species